rnacentral:tRNA from 1 species
UGACCCAUGGUGUAAAGGUAGCACUACAGUUUUUGGUACUGUCAGUUCAGGUUCGAAUCCUGGUGGGUCAA